UACAGAGGUCCCAAGCGUUGUUCGGAUUCAUUGGGCGUAAAGGGUGCGUAGGUGGCGCCGUAAGUCAGGUGUGAAAUUUCGGAGCUUAACUCCGAAACUGCAUUUGAUACUGCGGUGCUUGAGGACUGGAGAGGAGACUGGAAUUUACGGUGUAGCAGUGAAAUGCGUAGAGAUCGUAAGGAAGACCAGUGGCGAAGGCGGGUCUCUGGACAGUUCCUGACACUGAGGCACGAAGGCCAGGGGAGCAAACAGG
rnacentral:rRNA from 1 species